UGGGGAUUUUAUGAUAAAAUGUGUUUGGGGGAAGGGUUAGGUGGGUAGUUUUAUGGGAAUUUUAUGAUAAAAUGUGUUUGGGGGAAGGGUUAAGUGGGUAGGUUUAUGUGGAUUUUGUGAUAAAUUUUAUUUGGGAAAAUUGUUAAAUGGGUUGGGUUAAUUAAUUUUUUAUGUUGUAUAAUAUUUUUAAAUUCAAUUGUAAAUAUCAUAAAAAAAUUAUUGCAUAUUUUUUUACGAAA